UACGAAGGGGGCUAGCGUUGUUCGGAAUCACUGGGCGUAAAGCGCACGUAGGCGGCGCGUUAAGUCAGGAGUGAAAUCCUGGAGCUCAACUCCAGAACUGCCUUUGAUACUGGCGCGCCCGAGUGUGGGAGAGGUUGGUGGAACUCCGAGUGUAGAGGUGAAAUUCGUAGAUAUUCGGAAGAACACCAGUGGCGAAGGCGGCCAACUGGCCCAUUACUGACGCUGAGGUGCGAAAGCGUGGGGAGCAAACAGG
rnacentral:rRNA from 1 species